CAGUUCGGAUCGGAGUCUGNAACCCGACUCCGUGAAGCUGGAUUCGCUAGUAAUCGCGCAUCAGCCAUGGCGCGGUGAAUACGUUCCCGGGCCGUGUACACACCGCCCGUCAAGCCAUGGGAGCCGGGGGUGCUUGAAGUGCGUCGCCGCAAGGCGCGCCCUAGAGCAAAACCGGUGACUGGGGCUAAGUCGUAACAAGGUAUC
rnacentral:rRNA from 1 species